rnacentral:rRNA from 1 species
CCUACGGCGAGCAGUGGGGAAUAUUGGACAAUGGGCGAAAGCCUGAUCCAGCCAUGCCGCGUGUGUGAAGAAGGCCUUCGGGUUGUAAAGCACUUUCAGUGGGGAAGAAAGCCUUGGGGCUAAUACCCUCGAGGAAGGACAUCACCCACAGAAGAAGCACCGGCUAACUCCGUGCCAGCAGCCGCGGUAAUACGGAGGGUGCGAGCGUUAAUCGGAAUUACUGGGCGUAAAGCGCGCGUAGGCGGUCUGAUAAGCCGGUUGUGAAAGCCCCGGGCUCAACCUGGGAACGGCAUCCGGAACUGUCGGGCUAGAGUGCAGGAGAGGAAGGUAGAAUUCCCGGUGUAGCGGUGAAAUGCGUAGAGAUCGGGAGGAAUACCAGUGGCGAAGGCGGCCUUCUGGACUGACACUGACGCUGAGGUGCGAAAGCGUGGGUAGCAAACAGGAUUAGAUACCCGAGUAGUC